rnacentral:rRNA from 1 species
GAUGAACGCUAGCUAUAGGCUUAACACAUGCAAGUCGAGGGGAAACGGCAUUAUGUGCUUGCACAUUUUGGACGUCGACCGGCGCACGGGUGAGUAUCGCGUAUCCAACCUGCCCUUUACUUGGGGAUACCCCGUUGAAAGACGGCCUAAUACCCGAUGUAAUUCAUUGAUGGCAUCAGAUAUGAAUAAAAGAUUUAUCGGUAAAGGAUGGGGAUGCGUCUGAUUAGCUUGUUGGUGAGGUAACGGCUCACCAAGGCGACGAUCAGUAGGGGUUCUGAGAGGAAGGUCCCCCACAUUGGAACUGAGACACGGUCCAAACUCCUACGGGAGGCAGCAGUGAGGAAUAUUGGACAAUGGGCGCAAGCCUGAACCAGCCAAGUAGCGUGCAGGAAGACGGCCCUAUGGGUUGUAAACUGCUUUUAUACGAGAAUAAUUUGAUGCACGUGUGCGUUAUUGCAUGUAUCGUAUGAAUAAGGACCGGCUAAUUCCGUG